UACGUAGGGGGCAAGCGUUGUCCGGAAUCAUUGGGCGUAAAGAGCGUGUAGGCGGCCAGAAAAGUCCGCUGUGAAAACUCGAGGCUCAACUUCGAGCUGUCGGUGGAAACUUUCUGGCUAGAGUCCGGAAGAGGAGAAUGGAAUUCCUGGUGUAGCGGUGAAAUGCGCAGAUAUCAGGAAGAACACCCGUGGCGAAGGCGGUUCUCUGGGACGGUACUGACGCUGGAGACGGCGAAAGCCGUGGGGAGCGAACAGG
rnacentral:rRNA from 1 species